GACGAACGCUGGCGGCGUGCUUAACACAUGCAAGUCGAACGGAAAGGCCUUUUCGGAGGUACUCGAGUGGCGAACGGGUGAGUAACACGUGGGUGAUCUGCCCUGCACUCUGGGAUAAGCCUGGGAAACUGGGUCUAAUACCGGAUAGGACCGCACUUUAGUGUGUGUGGUGGAAAGUUUUUUCGGUGUAGGAUGAGCCCGCGGCCUAUCAGCUUGUUGGUGGGGUAAUGGCCUACCAAGGCGGCGACGGGUAGCCGGACUGAGAGGUUGGUCGGCCACAUUGGGACUGAGAUACGGCCCAGACUCCUACGGGAGGCAGCAGUGGGGAAUAUUGCACAAUGGGCGCAAGCCUGAUGCAGCGACGCCGCGUGGGGAUGACGGCCUUCGGGUUGUAAACUCCUUUCGCCAGGGACGAAGCGUUUUGUGACGGUACCUGGAGAAGAAGCACCGGCUAACUACGUG
rnacentral:rRNA from 1 species